rnacentral:rRNA from 1 species
AUUAGUCCAUACUGCCCCAAAUGAUCCUGAUCUCAGAAGCUAAGUAGGGUCAGGCCUCGUUAGUACUUGGAUGAGAGAAAAACUUGGAUGGGCAUAGUG